AGGAGUUUAUCUCGACUGAGUAGCUUCCCCGCCACUCCUCUAAAAUCCCUCCUCAAAAACCCCAAGUUAAAAAAAAAAAAGAUCUAUUCUUGUAGAUUUUUUUUGUGUGGGUCUAUGUUUCAUUCAUCUGCUUUCAGGCUGGAUUUAUAACAAGCAGAACUUUUAAAACGGUAUGAUUUUAAAAUAAAAUUAAAAAAAAAACACGCUGAGAUCUUUCCAUAGCUUUGGCUUCUGGGAGUUGAAAGCGCAGCUUCAGGAAAAAGAGGACCUUAGAACUGAAGGAGCAAGAUUCCAACAUCACACUGUUUUUGUUAGCUGUGUGUGUGUGUUUCCUGUGUAUCCAAAAGACAGAGGAGAUGAAAAAGCAAAAGAAAAGAAACGAGGAAUCAGAUUGGAAAGAAGGUUUCUCCAGGACGUCACCUGUAUGAGGUACACAGUGUGAUGACACACUCUGUGCUUUUCCUACUUGUGUCCACGUGAGUGUCUGGAGCUGCCCUUCAAGGAGAGCAAUAGAUGAAUGAUUCUGCCUUCCCGCUGAGAGGGAUGUGGGUCCUGCGGAUGGUCGGGGUGAAGCUUCCUCUCCUUUCUGCUGACAGCACUUCCUCAUUAAAUGCAGAGAUCUGCAAAAAGGGAAAAUAAAAACACAAGAAGAAAAAUGAGGCAUCAAAGACCCUCCUCUUAUGCCCAUGGGGAUUUGGAGGACGGGUUAUUUCUUUGCUUUCCCAAAGGGCCCAAGAAGAGCUUCCGGGGAGAGGGAGAGCACCCUUUUUGAGGAUUCCCGACAAGCCUGUCUCCCGAGGGCUCCUGUAGGAGAG
rnacentral:lncRNA from 1 species